UCUUACGGAUGAGCAAAGAAAGUGGUUUCUUGAGGUGUAAUCUACUCUCAGUGCAGAUGCUACGAA
rnacentral:pre_miRNA from 1 species